CCCCAGAGGUCGGCGAGGGGGUUGGGGCAGGGAGCCUGGACUCCUGGGUUCGGUGCCCACCCCAAAGGUCGGCGAGGGGGUUGGGGCAGGGAGCCCGGACUCCUGGGUUCUGUGCCCAGCCCUCGGGGUGGGGGGAGUUGUGACAUCAUGAGUCUGAUCUAAUAUCUGCUUGAAAGCUGACAGGGCCAGACAGAGUGAACUGCCUGCCAGCCUGCCCUGCCCCGGGGGAACCGCUGGAAAUGCAGCGGGCGAGGGAUCCCAGGGUGGGGGGCUGCUCAGGGCUUGGGAUGGCAGCAAACAAGGCUUGGCCAUCGCUAGAGCUUUGCUCCAAAGAUCAAACCAGGAAUCUUACCAUUUCUGGUGACACGUGAGGGAAACGGGGUUAGUGUCUCUGUGUCUCUGGGCUGGUCGUGGUGACCCGUGUCUGGACGGUUUAAUGGCUGAAUGACCCUGGGCUAAUUGCCGGGCUGGCUGGGAGAAGGAGAGUUCAGCCGAUUGUUUUCUCAGGCCAAAAGGCUGCUGGAAAUGUAUGAAAACCCCGGGCCCGAGCCUGCUUCAUCUCCAAUCUGCUUUGGGUUUCAGGAGGGGAAAGCUGAGCCCCAAGGAUUGAGGUCCCCAGUCGCUGACUGGAGCCCCCCUGAAUAUGGACAUGGGACUAGACCCUCUGGGCUGUUCCUAAAGGGACUUUUGGCAGCUACAAGCUCCUCUCUGCUGUGUCUGAGCCUCAGGAACUGAAUUCCCGUCUGUCUGUAGAUUGCUUUGUAACCAGCACUCCCUGGCUUUUCUCGUGUAACAGAGAACCGGCUCUAAGGGUGGGUUUGGGUCAGAACGAAGUUAGAACUGGACCUGGCUGUGUGGCUGAUCCUUCGGGGCUGGAAGAACCUUCUGUUCUACGACAAGAGAAGAUUUUCAGGAAUCACCAUACGUGAGUGUGUCUGUGUGACUGAGGUGUGGAUGGAUGAUGGACUCAACCUCCAGCCCCAGCCUGUCCUGAUGAAAUCGAGUUCAAACCCCACCGGCUGAAGAUGCAGACAAGAGCCCUAACGAAGUAAGAAGUGUCCACCCUAAACAGAAAAGGUGCAAUAGAAGGAAGAUCAAAGCCAGGUCCCAGGCUGAGUCGCCUGCCACUGCUGGGUGAUCGAUCACUGAACCCAGAGGCAGUGACCCAGCGCCCUGUAGACUCUGGAUUCAAAGUAAAGCCUAUGUCAGCAGUCAGGAGGAGCGCUGCCCUGCCCUCUGGUGGGGAAUUGGAGAGAGUGUGGAACGAAUUUCAAGAAUUUGCAUUGGCCUCCACCCCCCCACUUAAGCCCACAGCAGCUCGGGCUGGGUGGGAUGCUUUCUGACAGAAAGGACUCAAGCUCAGUUGGGUGGUACUUGCUAAACAUGGGACAUGGGUUCCAAAACCCCAUGAGGGGAGAGAGGCUGGGGACUGGUGUGUGUGCCUGAUGGGAUGGGCCCCUUUUGAGGGCCUGGAACGCCAAUUGCACGUCGUCCUGUCUCCACUGUUAAAGAGCAGAACUAAUUUGGAUUCCAAAGGAGUCCGUCUAGAGACUGCUGGGCUGAAUUCCUGUUGGGCCAAUGGUGCACCGGCACCGGGGCUCCCCUCCUAAGAGCUGAACUCACUGAAAGAGCUGAGCUGAGAUCACGGCGUGCUGUGCUAACGAGUGGGGGAGCCUGCAGCCCUAUCGUGCUGUGCUAACGAGCGGGGGAGCCUGCAGACCCAUCCCUAAGCGGCUGGCAGAGGGGAGCGGAGCAGUUUGCAGCGUGUUGGAGCAGCCCAUGGAGCAGUGAGCGGAGUGAAGCAGUUUGCAGGGACAGCUGGAGGAGCGGCACAGCUGGUGUGGUGGAGCUGGUCGUGGUGAAGGCUGCAGCAGAACUCCACGGAGGCAGAGCAGUUGGCCCUGGCCCACGUAAGGUGCCCCUUAACACCCCGUGUGGACUCCCUCCCCCCCACCCUUUCCACCCAGGUUGGGGGGGGGGUAAAACUCUGCAGAUAAACUCUUGAAUUCUGGGGUGGCACUGACCAGAGACUUUUGGGUUGUUGGACUUUGGGGUGAUUGGACUUAAGGCCCUAAGGGGAAAAGGACAUUGCCAGACGUACCUGGGAGUGGGGGUUUUAUUUUUGUUUGUUUGUGUUAUAAUCCUGUUUGUGGUGUUUCUCCAGUGGGAUGCCACAUUGUUUCCCUCCUUUAUUAAAGGGUUUUGCUACACUCAGACUCCCUGCUUGCGAGAGGGGAAGUAUUGCCUCCUAGAGGCGCCCGGCGGGGUGGUAUGUGAGUGUCCCAGGUCACUGGGUGGGGGCUCGAGCCGGUUAUGCAUUGUGUUAUUGAAACGGACCUCUGGAUACUGAACCCGGCCCUUGUUGCUGCCAAUUCAGAGGGGCAGACGGGUUACACGUACAAAAAGGAUGGGUGAGAUGGGAGAGUUUGGAGGGUAACAUUCUGCUGCCAACAUGGCAGGACACGGGUGCAGGCCCAACAGAGACCCAGCUCGUCCUCGUGCCCGGCCACAAGCUACGAACCCAAGCUGCAACAUGGCGCACGGGUGCGUGUGUAUUAAGAUAUUAGUUAUUGGUCAUAAAUCAGAUUAUCAUCAUAA